rnacentral:rRNA from 1 species
GAUGAACGCUGGCGGCGUGCCUAAUACAUGCAAGUCGAGCGAACAGACGAGGAGCUUGCUCCUCUGACGUUAGCGGCGGACGGGUGAGUAACACGUGGAUAACCUACCUAUAAGACUGGGAUAACUUCGGGAAACCGGAGCUAAUACCGGAUAAUAUAUUGAACCGCAUGGUUCAAUAGUGAAAGACGGUUUUGCUGUCACUUAUAGAUGGAUCCGCGCCGCAUUAGCUAGUUGGUAAGGUAACGGCUUACCAAGGCGACGAUGCGUAGCCGACCUGAGAGGAUGGUCGGCCACACUGGAACUGAGACACGGUCCAGACUCCUACGGGAGGCAGCAGUAGGGAAUCUUCCGCAAUGGGCGAAAGCUUGACGGAGCAACGCCGCGUGAGUGAUGAAGGUCUUCGGAUCGUAAAACUCUGUUAUUAGGGAAGAACAAAUGUGUAAGUAACUAUGCACGUCUUGACGGUACCUAAUCAGAAAGCCACGGCUAACUACGUG